CUUUCAGCCAUUCCUUCCUUAUUAUUAUAAACACUUGGGUUUAUAGGGACAUCUGAUGUUUAUUAGCAGACUGCACAUGGCCGUGUACAGACGGUCACUGUUUUAGCUUAAAUUCUUAAAGCCUUUCCUGAAAAAGAACAAUCACAUUUCUAGUGUAGACAUAACAGGGUUCUCUGUCAUCGUUUUUUGGGAGUCCAAAUUGCAUUGUUUGAAGUUCCACUUUUCUAAAGGUGUAGGUACCCCCCCCCCCCGACCAAAAGGGGAUUUUUCCCUCUUUGUUUUAGAAUUGAAAUAGUCUGAAUAUUUUAUCCAUUUCUUGUACAAGACCAAACUAGUUGUGAGGCAGUGAUUCAUCCCCGUACCACAUACAGUUGCUUAUAGAGCUUUUGUCUUGAUACCUCUCUUGAGAAAGUACCGUGACUCUUUGUUGUGCUCUGUAUAAAGCAGCUUUUCUGCCCUGUUGUGGUAGGGUUGAAAGAUGUGAUUCAUGAUUAAGCUUGGAAAUGAAAAGAUUUUCUUUAAUUUUGUAACUGCUUUGGGUGUCUUCGUGAGUUCUACGUUUUCUGAUUAGUUGAGAAAAUUACUAGAGUUGACUCUGUUUUAAAGCUUAGUCUGAUGUGGUAAUUUGAACAGUCUUUCUGUUGUUCUGACUCUCCUGGAUAAAAAUGCUUAGUCCUGGUAGGUAGCCUCCUUCCCUUCUUUUUCUCUGGGCAUCUAGAGCUAGAGAUGUGGCUUCUGCAACCUUACUUUUCUGGGGAAACAAGAUACUCUCACUUACUAGCGUUCUUUAUCUUCCUUUUUAGUACCUCUGCCGCCUGGGUGAUGCCUCUUUCCUCCCUGAUACCUGGCACCACUGAUUCCCAAGUCAGCAGCCAGUCAACGUGGGGCCCAUUCUUGUGGCUUAGGCCAUGCCCAGCAUUUGCUUGACUUCACCUUGGUUCUGCUGGUGCUACAAACUGUCUGAAGUCUGGCUGGGAAGCUCAGUUGUUCCUGGCUCACAUGAUUUGCUCUCCAGCCCUUGCUGCAGAGACCUUUCUCCUUGCUAGGAUGAUCCCUCUGGCCAGUGCCCCAGCCAGACUCACAGGGACUUCUCUGUCUGGUCUGUUCCAAGUAGAACCAAGCAUGGCCCCCUUCACAGGGCACCCAAUGCAGAACAGGGCCGAGAGCCCCCUCUGCCUUCCACAUCACUCCUGACUGAACACACCUCUUUCUCUCAGGGCCAAAGCCUGGGCAGUAGAAAUUGGUCCAACCUCUUGACUUUCUCUCUCUCCCACAAUAUACCUGUUUCAUAUCCCACAUAUCCCUGUAUCAUAACGUUCCUUUUAGCUAGUCCUGUGGCUUUGCUGUUACAGUUGGAAGGCGGCUAUCUUUUCCAUGCUGGAGGAGAAUUCUGUGAGGUCCAUUAUUAAAAGGAGGUAGGGAUGGGGGAAAGGAAUAAAGCGGUUUGUCAAACUCUCUUUAGAUAAAUCUGUGGCAUGGCUAACAAAGUUAUAUAGUGUUGCUGAAUGAUCCUAUUUUGCAAGUCAGAAGUGAUUAUUCAUUUUUUUUUGGUAGCAUUUCUGUAAUCUUUUUUUUUCUUAGGCUGAUGAACACAUUACGUCAAAAGGCAAAAGAGGACGUAUGGCUCCUCCUCCAAGUCCACAAGUCUGUCAUGAGUACUCAAGAUGACCCUGGUCCUGCUGCUCUCCGUUCCCAUUCUACAUGUGGUCAAUAAAGCUUCCCAUUUUGUGUCAAAUAUC